UUCAUUUACUUAUUUAUAUGCCUCUAGGUGGAUCCAUCAGGUUCAUAUUUCUCAUGGAAAGCCUCUGCAAUGGGGAAGAAUGUCUCAAAUGCAAAGACAUUUCUCGAGAAGAGGUACACUGAUGAUAUGGAACUUGAUGAUGCUGUCCACACGGCUAUUUUGACACUCAAGGAGGGAUUUGAAGGGCAAAUCUCUAGCAAAAACAUUGAGAUUGGUAUUAUAGGCACUGACAGAAAAUUCAGGCAAGUUUUGUUUUCAUUUUCUCAUUAAGC